rnacentral:rRNA from 1 species
AUUGAACGCUGGCGGCAGGCCUAACACAUGCAAGUCGAACGGUAGCACAGAGAGCUUGCUCUCGGGUGACGAGUGGCGGGCGGGUGAGUAAUGUCUGCGACACUGCCCGAUGGAGGGGGGUAACUACUGGAAACGGUAGCUAAUACAGCAUACUGUCGCAAGACCAAAGAGGGGGACCUUCCGUCCUCUUGCGAUCGGAUGUGCCCAGAUGGGAUUAGCUAGUUGGUGAGGUAAUGGCUCACCAAGGCGACGAUCCCUAGCUGGUCUGAGAGGAUGACCAGCCACACUGGAACUGAGACACGGUCCAGACUCCUACGGGAGGCAGCAGUGGGGAAUAUUGCACAAUGGGCGCAAGCCUGAUGCAGCCAUGCCGCGUGUAUGAAGAAGGCCUUCGGGUUGUAAAGUACUUUCAGCGGGGAGGAAGGCAAUGCGGUUAAUAACCGUGUUGAUUGACGUUACCCGCAGAAGAAGCACCGGCUAACUCCGUG